ACAUUUCUGCUCUUAAGCUACGUUAUGAACCAACCAGACCUCUCAGUUCGUCUGUGACAGGUCUGCUUUAUAUGUCAGAGUCAAACUGAACAUGCAGAAGCAGCGUACAGAUUUUAUGCUCUAUACAUAUGGAACAAACUCCCAGAAUACUGCAGCCCUGAGCCCAGCUUCCACCUGCGGGAGAAACUCGUUUGACCGCUGCACUUAUUACUCUCUGAAGUGCUUUACAUAGCCUGCACACUUCACAAGGAAAUGACCCGAGGAAACUGUUUGAUUAACAAUAGCUGUGCAGAUAAACCAGCUCCCUCCUCCCGCUCCGUAAGUUUCACAGAGGCACGACCCACCCAAACGCCACAGCAGAGAGGUGCUUCCUUAUUACCAGAAAACCCAAAAUAACCUCUUCAGUGCAGACCAUCUGAAGGAUGCAAAAGCCCUGGAAAACAAAUAUAGUAAAUAGAUCUGGAAUUAACAAUCAGGGGCCUGUGCUGGGAAGCAGGGUACGCGAGGUAACUUCAGGAUUCAGGCUGGGUUUUCAGUCCUACGAGGGUAGUUCACUUAUGUUCGAGAUAAGAGAUCAACACUAUAAAAGCACCACCUGCUGACCGAUCCGUUCUCUUGAAAAAUGACAUCCCCAGACUGCAGCCUACAGGAGGCGUUGACCAUCAGACAGACGAGUAAAUAAAUAUGCCAAAAGAGUCGCAUGUGAAAAUAAAAUCUAAAAUCUUUAUUUUUCUUCUUAAAUUACAAAGAUGAAUUUUACUGUUAAAGUGCUUUAUAAUCUCAUUAAACUAACAUGUUGACUGAUCUGACAACAGCUGAUAACAUGAUCAGAGAAACAGUUAUUUAGAAACAGACCAUCUGUCAGAUAAAGGCAAAAAAUGGUUGUUCAAUCAGAUUAUUGAUUUGAAGUUUAAUAAAGCUUCACAGGAGGUCAGAGACUAAAACAACCAAACACACCCGUCCUCUUCAUCCUCGUCUUCCUUUCAGCAGCGCUGAAGGAAAAAGGUUUCAAACCUUGUUACAUCGUCUCAGGACACUGCUUGAUGAUUGGCUCCUUCUUGCGUCAGGCUGCAGGUGUUUCUUGGCCCCCGGCUCUCUGUGAGACAUCACCCCAGUAGUGAUGUCACAGCUUGGCCUUGCGGCGGUCUCUGACGGCGUACAAGACGGCGUGAGCUUGGUCGAACGACUCGCCGACGGCCGACUGAACUCUGCUCCUCCAACGCUGCAGCUGAGGACGCUGCUGCAGGACGUCCCUGCCCCCCCCCAGAGGCUGCAGAGAGACACAAUGAGCAUGCUCAGAACCAAUGGCCAAUCACCAAACCCCUCCCCCCACCAUGUGGAGAAUCAAACACUGACAAACCGGUUUUCAAACUGAAAAAAGGAGCGCACCAUUUUUCUACAGAACCAUUUCCGUUUAAAUAAACGCCCUGAACGCAGCCCUGUGAUUGGUCAGCACAGUGUGUCAGUGUUUGUGGCUACAGUAAAUAAAGGGGGCGGGGCUUAGAAAACAUUCAGCUGAUCAAUAUGUAAACCAGAGAGCCUCGGACCUGCAUGAGCUCGCAGACGGCGAGCAGAUCGGCCACAGUGAUGUCAUCGCCACAGAGGAAAGGCUGUCUGCGAAGAAACAUGGACUCCAGUUUGUCCAGGGUGUCAUCGAGCAGAGAGAGCGCACGAUUCAAGCGUGCCUCGUCCACCUGAGAGCCACUCUGAGCCGAGAGGAGCACCUGAGACAGAGACGGGUGGAGACAGACAGACAGACAGAGAGCGAGAGGGGUGUGUGGUUAGAAUAAUUUCUAUCACUUUCCAACUCAAAUCAAUCACUGCUCAAUCUGUUUGUUGAUGAUGUAUUUACUGUGUGUGUUCUUGUACUAGUAUCUUUGUGGGGACCAGUUUUAGACCUUCAUGUGAGGGAUUUUAGUUUGUUAAGCUACCUCCAGCAUAAAGACUUUAGCGGCGUGUAGUCGUGUGUUGGUGUGAUGCCAGGCGGUGUAUUCGUCCACUUUGGCUCGUCUCUCUGGUUGAUGUGGAUACCAGUGCUCCGGCAUGUCGUACUUGAUGGCCAGGUACUUCAGGAUGGCAUCACUACAACACACACACACACACACACACACAC